UACAGAGGGGGCAAGCGUUGUUCGGAAUUACUGGGCGUAAAGGGCGCGUAGGCGGUCAGCACAAGUCAGUUGUGAAAUCUCCGGGCUUAACUCGGAAAGGUCAACUGAUACUGUGCGACUAGAGUGCGGAGGGGGCAACUGGAAUUCUUGGUGUAGCGGUGAAAUGCGUAGAUAUCAAGAGGAACACCUGCGGCGAAGGCGGGUUGCUGGGCCGACACUGACGCUGAGGCGCGAAAGCCAGGGGAGCGAACGGG
rnacentral:rRNA from 1 species